rnacentral:rRNA from 1 species
UACAGAGGGGGCAAGCGUUGUUCGGAAUUACUGGGCGUAAAGGGCGCGUAGGCGGCCCGCUAAGUCGAACGUGAAAUCCCCGAGCUCAACUCGGGAACUGCGUCCGAUACUGGCGGGCUUGAAUCCGGGAGAGGGAUGCGGAACUCCGGGUGUAGCGGUGGAAUGCGUAGAGAUCCGGAGGAAGACCGGUGGCGAAGGCGGCCUGCUGGGCAGUUACUGACACUGAGUGCGCGACAGCGUGGGGAGCAAACAGG